CAGACUUUACGCAACGCUUGACUCAAUAGCAUCUAGCGAAAGUGACCGUUUUUGAACCCGUAUAACAAAACCAUGCCGAAUGCUAGUUGGCAAACAGAUCGAUUGGAAUUCUGGAACGCUCAAAAGCGAACUAUGCUAAAUCUGGCAGCGGUAGCGUAAGCUAGCCUCAUUACCCCUGGCAGGUCAGCUGUAUCUGAAAGAUUGGCCUCUGCCAUAAAAUGUGUGGCUUGGGACGACCGCAGUAGUAUGACGGUCCAGCAUAUAAGCGAGCGAAGUCCUCAAGGGCCUCUAAAGGGGUCCAUAUAUUACGCAACCACGUUUUCUGUGAUUUUUGAUUUUACCUGCUUUUAUUUUCAGUUGUUUAUUUGGUUCAAGUAUGACUUUUCGUGAAUUUGUGCAUGAGUUUUGGCACACGGUCCUCCCCCAACCAGCUGUGCUAACUGAUAUCUCAGAGCGCACAAGUGAGCUUAUCUUUCCGUUUAUUUUGUUUCAAAUUCUCACUGUGAUCUGAUAGAAGCUAGUUGAAAUUGAAAGCCAUUUUAAGGGUUUAGGAGACUAGCAGGACAAUUGAAAAUAUUGCAAGACAACAUUAAGCCGCAAAGCAAGUUAGCAUGUGAGCAAGGGAGCAAGGGAGCACGUGAGGAGAGGAGAACAACUGAACAAAUGAGCAAGUAAACAACAAAACAAGUGAACAAAAUAGGGAAGUUGACUCAUUAAAAAAAGAAAAAUUGAUCGUGCUCACCCAAGUGAUUAUUAUUUAUCCAACAUUAAUUUUGUUGCCAACAAUUACUUCGUUUAUGCGAUGGCCCUAUCACGCUUUCAUUUCUUGGUUUCGGCUGAUUCGUGGUGAAAAAACCCAUUUCAUGAUUUCGGCAACACACAAAAGUUGACUAUGAAUUAAACUCUGAUGACUUUCGGCAUCUCUGUCAGCUGAGGUGUAAUAAAAGCAUGAAUUCGGACUUAUAGGAACAAAUUGUAUAUCAUGCUUUUAAGAAAUCACGAAAUCCUAGCUAACAAAUACGCUAGGAAAUAACAUUUUUUAAUUCGUUUUUUGGUUUUCAAUUUAAUUCCUAUUGCAGGUAACAAAAAAGGCGGAAUGGGUCUGAUCUUAAACUAUAUCGCAUAAAUUUAUAGAGAUAGUUCCUAAUAAAUGUUCAAAAGUA